ACGGGCCAACAGCGGACGCCCGUUCAGGCGGUAUUCCCGCCCAAGCUCCGC
rfam:Sphingomonas sp. Leaf42 contig_3, whole genome shotgun sequence.